rnacentral:rRNA from 1 species
GACGAACCGAGCGAACGUUGUUCGGAAUCACUGGGCUUAAAGGGCGCGUAGGCGGGUAUUCAAGUCUAUGGUGAAAUCCGGCAGCUCAACUGUCGAAUUGCCGUGGAUACUGGGUAUCUCGAGGGAGGUAGGGGCGUGCGGAACUAAUGGUGGAGCGGUGAAAUGCGUAGAGAUCAGGAAGAACAUCGGUGGCGAAGGCGCUCUGCUGGACCAUAACUGACACUCAGGGACGAAAGCUAGGGGAGCGAAUGGG